CAUAAAUGUUUUACAUUUAAAUAUUAUUGCUACUAAACAGCUUUGUCAAUUAUCUUUUUGACUCUUCUUUUUUUCAGCUCUAGGCUUCAAAUACUAUAUAAUAAAAUCAUUAUGAUGUUGCUUUGUGGAGCUCCACAGGAAGCUUCCCUAAUAUGCUAAAGAUUUGCUACAGGCUCUAUAAAAGGAAUGAUGCUAAAAUGAUAUGUCAAAACAGAGUAUGUAUAUUCAUACAUACAUAGUUUAAUUAGCAACUCAACUAAACAGAUGAGUUAUUUUAUUGCCAAUUUUGCAGCAUGGGAAUAAAAAUGAUACGUCUGCUUUUCAAUUAAUUACAUUAAAUAUUAUUAACAUAUUUCUGUUCUUAUUUUCAGAUAUUUAUUAAUCAUAGUUUGAUGGUUUGAAAAAGAAUGACCUUCAUAGACUCAUGUGUUUGAAUGAUGGUCACAGGGAGUGGCCCUAUUAGGAGGUGUGGCCUUGGAAUAGGUGUGGCCUUGUUGCGGGAAAUGUGUUACUGUUAGGGUGGGCUUUGAGACCUUCCUCAAAAGAAGGCUUCCUGGAAGUCAGUCUUUUCCUGUUUGCCUUUGAAACAAGAUGUAGAACUCUCAUCUCCCUCUGUGCCAUGCCUGCCUGGAUGCUGCCAUGCUUCCUGUCUUGAUGAUAAUGGACUGAAUCUCAGAACAUCCCCGAAUCACACUUCCUGGCCUAAUUUCUCCAUUUGGAAUGUAACUUCCAGGUAAGUAGAAGUGGACCAAGGAUCUUUAUAUAGCCAUCUCUGUAUUUCUGAAGGCCAGCUCAUUGUCUAUGCCAUAAUAAUAAAUAAGACUACAAAGCCCAAAGUCAACGAUAAUUGCAUACACUGAUAUGCAAAUUCUAUUUACAUAGUCUACAUACAUUAACUCAUUUCAUGUAUACUAUAAGAUAGGCAUUAUAAUUUCAUAGAUAGGGGAAUCUAGAUGUGAGGAUGUGAAACUACAGUAUGAUUUAUGUGGACUGCGGGAACCUAUACCUCACAUCAGAGAAGUCCUACAAUAGAACUUGUAAUCUGUAGAUAGUCUAAGGGAAAGUUUCUUGGAAAUGGGAUGGGAUUGGAAUAGGAGAAGACAAGUCUUUGCAGCCCCUCCAGU
rnacentral:lncRNA from 1 species